AUUAAGGCACGGUCGUAGGUAGUGAAUUGACACGUGUGCAGGAGGGCCACGAGCCUGCGAGAUUGUUUUGCGCGUAAUUUAAUUAGAUUCGUGUUCCAUUUGGAGGGCUGACGGGUUACCCACCAAUGUGAACGAAUCCCGUUGAAGAAAAGGUAACGUACGCGGCGGUGGUGAGAAACAAAGAAGGUUGAUGAUAAAAAAAACACUGCCGGCAUGUGUUGAAUAUUUAAUCGUUCACGAUGAGAUGCUCUUCAUUUGUAUUUCAGGCCAAACUGUUGUGGAAAUUCAGCAAAAGGCCGGACGUGUGAGGCGAGCUGCGUGUGGGUUAACUCACUUCUACCUCGCACCUCCUCUGGGAGUUGGGACGGCUGAUUUCAGGGCUCGGAGGCUCAUUGCAAAGGCAACCCUCGCCCCUCAUUAGCAUGACGUGACCCGAUGAGUCAGGUUGCACUCGGCAUCGCGGGAUUUUUGGUGAAAGGCGGGCAAAGUGAGCGAGCGCAUUGUAGCGGCAAACUCGUACGAACCUGACUGCAGUGGGUAUGUCACCACAUGCAAAAAAAAACACGUGCUUACAUAUAUACGCGUUAAACAGCUAUCUAUUUUAACAACCCGCCACGCGCUUUCUCACCCUGCCAAACCACGUAGAUUUUAGUCCACCUGGUGGACGGUGGAGCGGUUGACGCGCACCGCACGAUGAACGCGGCGACCGGGCUUUGAUUCCUGGCCGCGGCUAACGUCACUGGCGAGCGACGUGCAAAUUAGUUCUGGGUGCCCCCCCCCCCCUUUCCAUCAACCCGUGCUCACCAAGGUGGUGGAACACGGUCAAACAAACCCCCCCCGGGAGCGACACGGUGCGGGGUAACCUUCACGCGCGAUGUGAUAUGAAGGGGUUCGAAUUUAUUUCUAAGUAAAGUCGAGAUAAUCGGUGGGAAAUUCGGGGUGGAGAGACGCGUCGAUGAAAUAUUGACUCUUAAGUUCACAAUGUAGGCAUCGACCCGCGUGUUUAAGAAUUCAUGUGCUUUGAUCUAAUUGUGACUGUCGCCGCCGCAGCCACACGAGGCGCUACAUUUCUCUCCAAAGUGAAAGAGCUCUACGUAUCGAUUCUUUCAUCGAAGCGUGACCAAAUCGUGACCGUUCAAUGCAUUGCAAUGGAUUACCUGCGAGGAGGCGGUGGUGGGGGGGGGCGGUGGUGCUGGUGACUCAUUCCAUCCUCGAAUAGAAACGUGUUGUGGUCCGGUUGUUUCUCUGGGAUGGACGUGUCACGUGUCCGAGUGACCGAGGGGCAGUGCCAUUGCCACGUGCGGCAUAUUGAUGCCGGUUUAAUAAUAAUUCCUGGCCAGAAUCAGGAUAAGGGAGGACUGUAAAUCUUGACUUAAAGCUUUCGUGACUGCAGGAAUUCAUAGUCUUUGGGUUUUUCGGUAAAGUCACGGAGAUAGGUUCCAAUUAAAAAUAAACGCAAGUGACCGUCAUCAGGAUGACGAUCGCUUGUGUUUUGAUCGUAACGUCGUAGUUUUUGUUUAUUUUAUUUGUAUUAAUUGGAACCUAUCUACGUGACUUUACCGAAAGACCCAAAGAAUAAGGGAUGACUGUGUUUAAGGCUUGGGCAGCGGUCACCAACCUGCGGCUCUUUAAAGGACUGCUGCUACGUGACCGUAAUUUAUGAAGGACCACCACUGUCUCGUAUUCACCACCACAGUGCAUUGCGGCUCUUGAUAUAUAUUGAUUUUUUUUUAAACUGAAUUCGAAGGAAAAAAAUGUCGCUUCUUGUUAUUCCGGUUGUAAUGUUAUAGGUAUGGGUGGAAUUAGGAACUAGGGAUAGGAGUUUUGGUUAAGGUCAUGGACUAGGCUUAGGGAUGAGUAGGGUUGAGGGGGAGGACUAGGGUUAGCGUUGGGUUGGGAUUCAUGGGUUAGGGUUUAGGGUCAGGAUCAAGCUGGGGUCAGGUGAGGUUCUGUCUUAAGGUUAUAAGGUUACAGUCAGUGUUAGUUGUCAGUAGUAGGGUUAGGAUAAAGGACAGCAUUUAUAUUUCCCAACUUCGUGCAUGGCACACUGAGAUCCCUGAAUGGAUUGCGCCUUAGACAUGUGAGUAAUUAUUAUUGAGGGGUAGGCCCUUUCAGAAUUGGGAUAUUUCGCACUUAUCUGGAAAGCAGUGAACCUCCAAAUAAGAGCUAUACUCUCUUUUGUCGGCUAUCUCUUGCGUAUAUUUCAUGGUGGAAACAUAUAAACCAGGCUCACAACAUUAUCGAAUCCUCACAUUUUAAAGAACUUGCUACUCCGCUUAUGACACAACUAGUCGUGAGACGGCUGAUGCAAUUUGCAUUCAUCGGUAUCGAAUCACACUCAAAGAAAGUAAUUUCAGGCUGAAACUAUAUUUUUUAGGAUAUGUUCAAAUUAAACUGUAAAUGCCAAAGCCACUAUUUUUUUAAUGCUCUGUUCGCUUUAAUUCCAUAUCUAUAAUAGGAGCAAGCGGAGAGAGCGGGGUGUUUUUUAUUUAUUUUCUUCAUGGCAUGACGAUAGCUGCCGACAGCCCAGAGAAUGGUGUCCAAGAGCUGGAACAAACGAGCUCGGACUGCUCAAGGCUUCGAAGACGCGCAGAGAAAUUCUGCAAUGCAUGGCACCCGCCGGGCUGUCUGUGGCAACGUCUCCGACAGGUGUCAAGCUUCGUCUCCUUGAGCGUGCCCCUUUUGCUGGGGCCACGAACACAAUUUCACUUUGUUUUGUUGCGGUUGUUGUUGUUGCUGUUGCCGUCCGUAAGUUGCUCGGUCCGGUCAUUAAAUCGGUGGUUCGAUCCAACGUUCAACCGUCGUCGUCAUUCUAGGGCGAGCCGUUGAUGCGUUCAAAGUUUGAGCGAUGUGCUUGUUGAUAUUACCGCGGGGUUUUUCCCCAGCUUCGAAGAGCGCGGGUCGUGCAGUGCAGUUAACGGGCCGUUCUCCACCUCGAAUUUAGGCGCUGCUUGGAAAUAACGAACAGUCGGCGUAAGACGGAAUUAAAUAAUGAACGUCGAUGUUUGUAGCGAAGAGCAACACUGGCUGGAGGAGGUGGACGUCUUAUUUCUUGAGUACCGAUUUGCUUAAAGACUAAAAACAUUAAUUGAAAAAAAUGUAAUAUGCUCUCACGGCUGUCAGUUUAAAAAAAAAUAACAAUUAUGUACGGCACUUAGUAAAUCGACUUCCAGAUGCAGACCUCCGCAGGACGUGUCAGACAGACGUUAUUUGACCAUACUUCACCAGGCUGUUAGUGAAGGGGGGGGGGGGGGGGCAGGUUGAGAACCGGCUCAGCUACGACUCACCACUGAUGUUAGCCGUGGCCGCGAAUCAAACUUAAGUCCCUGGGUUCUAAGCUAAUUGUGUUCCCCGCUGCUCCGCCGCUGUAACAUUAAAUACGGGGCCUCACCUCGAGCGUCACGUUUAAUGCAAAUGAGGAAUAAUCAUCGCGAGCCGUGCAUCUCCACCCGCGUCCUUACGACCCCCUCUGGUGCAGCAUUGCACGAUUGCUGACCGUUAGGUACAAGCGGUGUUCUCCGUGGCUUCAUCUGCAUAUGAAUGAGCAAGCACUCUUCCUCGGAGCGGAGACAGCUCCCUUUCUCGCAGCUAUCGUUCCAUCCCCUUGAGGUUGGGGUCCUUUCUCGGAAAAUUUCCGAGAGCUGCUCCGAACAAGGGCCGUUUGCCUGAAACGUCAGCCCUUUUCUGCGUACUUUGCCGCCCCUACACGUGCAUAUGGAGGAGCAUGAGUGCAGUGAUUGUCGAACUGCACUCUGGACCGGGCCACCCGAUGUCGAUUACCAGCCACAGCUGACGUGAGUGUGUAAUUCCCAGCAUUCAGGUGGCACUCGUCUCCUCUUCGCGGCCCUAAGUCAGUGGCGGAAAUUGACUCCCACGUAAAGCGAUCCUCAAUUCAUCGACCCCCGAAGGGAUGAUAGACUGAGCCGAUCCUCAACCGGGAUUUAAAAUCGCAACUUUCCCAUUGCGAGCCGCUCACUCUGCCCGCCGGGCCACCGAUGCGUGGCACGAGUAUUUCAUCGGCACACACCGGAAGUAUCCAAUUUCGAGCGCACGCCUCCACGAAUGCUACACAUCGUGAGUCGAAGCACCGACGAUAUAAACGCCUCCGUUACACGACCCCCCGGUACAAGCGCAAUCCAAAUGAAACGUGGAAACGUGCGGUGGACAUUGGGGCGCUGGGAAUUGGUGGCGAGCAGUGGUGGUGGUUGCAGCCUUACUCAUGUCAGCGAGAGCGGUCUGCGAUCCCGCCCGGACGGUCGUGCCUCCGCCGCCAGGGCACCAGCAUGUCCCGCGCACCUGCCAAGGCAACGAGCCGGGACGCGAGAUCACCACCGCGCUCGCAUCGACACGCCGACCGAGGCCAUUUUAUCUCGAGGUCAAAUACCAGACGUGGUCUUCUCAGCACGUCUUUCCUCCCAAGCCAGUAAAGUGAGCCAAAUCUGGUUCGCCAAGGAGCAGGAAAAACAAGUGUCGCCUUCUGCCAGGCAGCAAAUGGGCCGCAGUUGAAUGUGGAAAUAAAUGCCUCCUUAUCUCUGCAUCCCACGAGCUGCGCAUUCUUUGUUCGUUACAAUACACACGGCAUGCUGGUGGAGCUUUCGCAAACGUUUCUCAAUCAAUCCACUGUUGGAUACUAAA